CAGCUUAAAAUAAAUUUAUUGUGCAAUACAAAAUGUAGGCAUACUGGAAAAUAAAGGUACAUUAUUAAAUAUACAAAGCAAAUGAAAGCUAAACAACACAAAUGUUUUCAUCCAAACACUAAGAUAAAAUGCACAACAUUUAUGCUAAAAACAUGCCAAAAAAAGAAAGAAAAAAGAAAAUCAAAUAUGCUACAUUGUAAAUGCUUGAAUAUCAAGAAUCAAUAAUGGCAUAAAACAAACCCAAUAAUAGUGGGUACUAUCAAGAACUUUGUUUAAAAAGGUGUUAAGAAUACUGAAAGAAUCAAAAUAUGUCCUUAAAACUGGCAAAGUUUUUUCUUUUUUAAGUUUGAGGGCCUAUUCGCAGUAUCUUAUCUCUUCUUCCGUUUAUACUUUUCUAUAAAAAUUUCUGCUCAUUCUUAACAUUUUCUAAACACAGUAGCUUAGAUAACAGUACUUCAUUUUUAAGUAUGCAUUUAAAGCAUUACCAACACAAAAAUAGUAAGUGACACAAAUUAACAACCUAAUUUUGAAAUCUAUACAGCUAUGUAUACGAUAUGAAAACUAAAUCUUCAUUUAAUAAAGUAAAACCAACUUCGGAAUGAAAUGGUAAAAUGUAACAAUUUAGAUCAUAGGGGAAACCACAAUGCCUUUUUUCCAAUUAAGGCAUUCGGUUGCCCAAACUACAAAUGGCCCUGGUGCAACUAACAUAAAUAUGCAACACAAAUAUGCAGUAAGGCCUUGAGAAGCAUCCAGUUAGGAUAUGCAUCUGAACAUUCAAAGAACAUUCAAGUAAGCAUAAAAUCCUUGGGAAAAUCCUCUACAACUUAAAAUAUAAUUAUUUAAAUAUAUAAAUUUAAUACUUAAGUUAGCCCAAAAGGCUUUUUGGCCAGCACCUCUAGAAGGGAAUUUCUUUUCUUAAUAUCACAGUUCCCAAACUUAAGACAUUAUGAUCAAGAUUUUCUAUCUUUAUUUGCACUAGUAUCUAAAAUACUCAGUGAAAUCUUUUUUGCUACACUAUAUUUACUUUUACAGACUUUCCAUUACCACAUACAUACACCAUCAUGCUAAGAAACCACCAAGUUUUUCUUCUAAUCCCCCACUAAAAUUAACAGGUUUCAACAAACUUGAAAUUAUAGGGGAACUAUGGGGAAAACCAGAGAAGUAUAUGGAAGAAGGAAGAAGUGUGAAUAGGUCCUACAGAAUUUUACAAUCACUUUGCCAAGACAACUAUAAAUACUAUGAAUAAUUACUUGAAAUCAGGUUGUGUAGAAUCUAUAGUUCUCUUAAAAACAAGUUUUGAUUCUCAAUAUUGCAUUUUUAUACCAAAUAAAAGGAUUUAGAUCUAACGUAUUUUAGUAGCAUACUUACUACCUGCAGACUAAAUUCAUUUCUCAAGUACUCUAAAAAACUUCAAAUAGAACAAACUUUAUGAGAUGCUAUAACUUAUCACAAAAGAAAUAUUAGCAUUUAUAAAAUUAAGAUAAUAAAAUGUAAAAGCUAAAAACCAAAAUUUGCCAUUCAUAUUUAAAUAUAACAUAGAAAAAGUUAUGUGGAUAAUAUGAAAAUAAAAUUGUUUAGGUGAACAAUUCACUUGAAGACACUCACUGUUUCUCCUUCUGAGUAACUAACCAUUAUAGCUUUUUAUUGAUGAAACAUCAUUAUCUCACAUCUGAAAUUCUUUGGCUGGAAUGUUUUAGUAACAUAAGACACUCCUGUAUAUAACAACUCUGACAGAACAGAGGAGUUGCAAAAUAAAAAAAGUAGGAGUCAUAUUUUAAAGCAUUUGAUAAAUUUUUAAAUAAAUUUUUUAAAAUGUAAAGCCAAUCUAUCACC
rnacentral:lncRNA from 10 species